UACGUAGGGCGCGAGCGUUGUCCGGAAUUAUUGGGCGUAAAGAGCUCGUAGGCGGCCUGUUGCGUCCGCUGUGAAAGCCCGGGGCUUAACCCCGGGUCGGCAGUGGAUACGGGCAGGCUAGAGGUAGGAAGGGGAGAAUGGAAUUCCCGGUGUAGCGGUGAAAUGCGCAGAUAUCGGGAGGAACACCGGUGGCGAAGGCGGUUCUCUGGGCCUUGCCUGACGCUGAGGAGCGAAAGCGUGGGGAGCAAACGGG
rnacentral:rRNA from 1 species